UCAAUCGCCAGACUGGAGGACACGGAUAAUUAUCACGUGCUCGAGGCAACGUCGUGCAACGAUUGAGUGGUUACCGCGGUCUCCAGUUGAACCUACCAAGAGGUGCACAGACAUAUAUUGCAAUCGCCGCGCCGUAACCGGAUAAACAUACGGAGGACACGGAGAAUCGACACCUUUUCAAGACAACAUCGAGCAGCGAGCGAUUCAGUGGUUACCGGUCUCCAGUUACACAUGCUCCACGAAGUGCGCACGUACGGGCUAUACGUACCCGUCUGAUGCGAUCUGUGUUUGGAGAUACUAUUCGUACUGAUUUCAUCACGUAAAGUAAAACGACUUCUUGUAGACAGCUCCACGACAUUUCGUCAGUUCAGGGAUAUUGACAAGUUGUAUUCUCUUAGAGAGAUAUGCCAUUCGUGAAGAGCUAUGAUAAACGCGUUGUUAAUUAGCUAUAUUCUCUUUACAAACAUUUUACAUACAUGAUAUAUUUCUUAUUAUAUUUA